rnacentral:rRNA from 3 species
ACUUAAAUUGAAGAGUUUGAUCAUGGCUCAGAUUGAACGCUGGCGGCAGGCCUAACACAUGCAAGUCGAACGGUAGCACAGAGAGCUUGCUCUCGGGUGACGAGUGGCGGACGGGUGAGUAAUGUCUGGGAAACUGCCUGAUGGAGGGGGAUAACUACUGGAAACGGUAGCUAAUACCGCAUAACGUCGCAAGACCAAAGAGGGGGACCUUCGGGCCUCUUGCCAUCAGAUGUGCCCAGAUGGGAUUAGCUAGUAGGUGGGGUAACGGCUCACCUAGGCGACGAUCCCUAGCUGGUCUGAGAGGAUGACCAGCCACACUGGAACUGAGACACGGUCCAGACUCCUACGGGAGGCAGCAGUGGGGAAUAUUGCACAAUGGGCGCAAGCCUGAUGCAGCCAUGCCGCGUGUAUGAAGAAGGCCUUCGGGUUGUAAAGUACUUUCAGCGGGGAGGAAGGUGUUGUGGUUAAUAACCGCAGCAAUUGACGUUACCCGCAGAAGAAGCACCGGCUAACUCCGUGCCAGCAGCCGCGGUAAUACGGAGGGUGCAAGCGUUAAUCGGAAUUACUGGGCGUAAAGCGCACGCAGGCGGUCUGUCAAGUCGGAUGUGAAAUCCCCGGGCUCAACCUGGGAACUGCAUUCGAAACUGGCAGGCUAGAGUCUUGUAGAGGGGGGUAGAAUUCCAGGUGUAGCGGUGAAAUGCGUAGAGAUCUGGAGGAAUACCGGUGGCGAAGGCGGCCCCCUGGACAAAGACUGACGCUCAGGUGCGAAAGCGUGGGGAGCAAACAGGAUUAGAUACCCUGGUAGUCCACGCCGUAAACGAUGUCGACUUGGAGGUUGUGCCCUUGAGGCGUGGCUUCCGGAGCUAACGCGUUAAGUCGACCGCCUGGGGAGUACGGCCGCAAGGUUAAAACUCAAAUGAAUUGACGGGGGCCCGCACAAGCGGUGGAGCAUGUGGUUUAAUUCGAUGCAACGCGAAGAACCUUACCUACUCUUGACAUCCAGAGAACUUAGCAGAGAUGCUUUGGUGCCUUCGGGAACUCUGAGACAGGUGCUGCAUGGCUGUCGUCAGCUCGUGUUGUGAAAUGUUGGGUUAAGUCCCGCAACGAGCGCAACCCUUAUCCUUUGUUGCCAGCGGUCCGGCCGGGAACUCAAAGGAGACUGCCAGUGAUAAACUGGAGGAAGGUGGGGAUGACGUCAAGUCAUCAUGGCCCUUACGAGUAGGGCUACACACGUGCUACAAUGGCGCAUACAAAGAGAAGCGACCUCGCGAGAGCAAGCGGACCUCAUAAAGUGCGUCGUAGUCCGGAUUGGAGUCUGCAACUCGACUCCAUGAAGUCGGAAUCGCUAGUAAUCGUAGAUCAGAAUGCUACGGUGAAUACGUUCCCGGGCCUUGUACACACCGCCCGUCACACCAUGGGAGUGGGUUGCAAAAGAAGUAGGUAGCUUAACCUUCGGGAGGGCGCUUACCACUUUGUGAUUCAUGACUGGGGUGAAGUCGUAACAAGGUAACCGUAGGGGAACCUGCGGUUGGAUCACCUCCUUACCUUAAAGAA